GCAUUUCCAAUUAGAAGCCUUGAACUGACGUCUGUUUUUGUCACCGAUCGCCAUCUGUCUCAUAGCAGGAAAUAUAUAUAAACAGCCGUUUACAAAAUUCACAAUAAUCUGCUGUGUUUUGAGUCUCAUAGUUUACUCUUCGCAGUCUACGCAACAAUGAAGUUCCUCGUUCUAAUUCUACUCGUGUGCAUCGCGUCGACCACGGGCUACUUUAUGAACGGAUUUGGCCGCGGAGGGGGCUGCGCAAAUUAUGGACAGAGGUGCUCUGUUGGAAACGGAAGGAACUGCUGCAGUGGUCGUAGGUUGGUCUGUCUCGGGGGGUCGUGCUCUCGGCUCAAUGUCGGAUGAUUCGGUUUGUCUCACGUUUCCUGGGAGCAUCAGCCGUUUGCUGGACUACGUGUACUCUAACUACAGUAACGCUUCUGGUAAUAAAAUUCCAUAAA